GGCUGGGCCACCGGAGGUCGCUCCCGGACACGCUUGAGUGCGCAUGCGUUGGGGCCUCAGCCUUUAUCCUAGCUGCGGAGAUUCACGCCUGGGAGGGGCUGUUCGGGAAGCGCUCUUCAGAAAGGGAGGUCGACCCAGGAAAGAGAAGAGAGGACUGAAGCACGAGAGUCCUGCCGUAAGGAAGCAGGAUUGUGUAGAAUACAUAAUAUCAGUAGCAGCUCUGUUUACGGAGCAUUAACCUUACGUGGAGUUCUUUGCAUUACCUGCUUUCAUCUUUACAGGGUAGCCAUUUGGCGUUUGUGUGUGAAUGUUCCCAUCCCUAGUUUGCAGAUUGGGUAACUGAGGCUCAGAGAGCUGGACUAGUUUGUGCACAGCCGAGAAGUGGUCAAGCAUAGAAUGAGAACCCAGGUUUGCGCUCCCUACCCUCCACUGAUAACCUGUCACAGGGCCUUGCAAGAGCUUUUGACUAAUCGCCUCUCAAUGGUUUUUCAUUCACUUAUUAAUUGCACAUCAGUCUGUGCCAAAUAUACUAGACAUUGGAGAAACAGUAGGAACAAGACACGGUACCGGCUCAUGGAUCUUUCAGGAAAAGGAAGUAGGAAAGCCCGAGUCUGAUGCUAAAAAGAACAGAAACAGGGUGCUGAGUGGAAAGUGAGCAGAAGAGGUGUGCGCAGUUUCCAGGCCUGGCCCAUACAGACCUCCAACAGGUGUUUGCCUAUGCUCUUACUCCUUCUGCCAACUGGAAGCAGUUGGUGAUCAGGCUCUGGAGAAGGCAAGGCCUGAAGAUGGGAGAUUCCUGAGUGGAGGAGAACUGUGCCUUACUGACCUGAAUAUCAACUCAUUGUUGUUAUGUGGGAAUAAACAAACUUGUGUUGACCUUUUA